UUAUUAAGAAGUAGUUGGUAUCUUAAAAUUGGAAUGAUACAGAGAAGACUAGCAUGGCCCCUGCGCAAGGAUGACACGCAAAUUCAUGAAGCGUUCCAUAUUAAA